CCAACACUAAAAGGUAACUUGGCUAAAAGACCACCCAUAUUUUGUCCCUGGAACUCCAAGUUCAUCAGAGAUCCAAGCUAUGAAGGAACCUUUUGCACAACAUCUUAUAUCUUUGGCCCCCCUCUCCAUGGUUGUGCUGCCCCUCAAGCUACUAUACAUGCCUAGAUCAGCCCCCACCACUCCACAGUCUUGCCAUCACUGCCCUCCUUGAAGCUCCUAAACAAGUGGCCCUCCAACAGCUAUGUCACCCUGGCAAGGAUAAGAGAUGACAGACUAGAGAUCCCUCCCUUGGCUUCUCAUCACCCCACACCUGCCGCUUCAGCAGGAAAUAGGAUUGUGGUGGAUGUAUAACAUCAAGAGGAUGUGGAGGAGAUCUCUUCUGCAGACAACGAGAAGAAAAAGGCAAAGGAAUGCCUCGCU